UUACGGCCAUUUCACAUUGAAACACCGGUUUCCAUAUGAUCACUGAAGUUAAGCAAAGUCAAGCCUGAUCAGUAUGUAGAGUAGAUGGGUGACUGCUUGAGAAUAUCAUGUGCUGUAA